AGUAAUAUUCGGGCAAUUUACCCUCAAGAGGGAGACAACCUGCCGAAAGGCGGGCUAAUAUCCCAUAAGACCACGGGGUGGCAUUAUCCAGGGGUCAAAGCUCCGCAAGGGGCGCUAGAGGAGAAGCCCAAAUCCUAUCAGCUAGUUGGUGAGGUAAUGGCUCACCAAGGCUUUGAUGGGUAGCCGGCCUGAAAGGGCGACCGGCCACACUGGCACUGAGACACGGGCCAG
rnacentral:rRNA from 1 species